CGCGCGAUACAGGGUGACAGCCCCGUACACAAAAGCGCAUGUGUUGUGAGCUCGAUGAGUAGGGCGGGACACGUGGUAUCCUGUCUGAAUAUGGGGGGACCAUCCUCCAAGGCUAAAUACUCCUGACUGACCGAUAGUGAACCAGUACCGUGAGGGAAAGGCGAAAAGAACCCCGGCGAGGGGAGUGAAAAAGAACCUGAAACCGUGUACGUACAAGCAGUGGGAGCACAGGUUUACCUGUGUGACUGCGUACCUUUUGUAUAAUGGGUCAGCGACUUAUAUUCUGUAGCAAGGUUAACCGAAUAGGGGAGCCGGAGGGAAACCGAGUCUUAAUUGGGCGUUAAGUUGCAGGGUAUAGACCCGAAACCCGGUGAUCUAGCCAUGGGCAGGUUGAAGGUUGGGUAACACUAACUGGAGGACCGAACCGACUAAUGUUGAAAAAUUAGCGGAUGACCUGUGGCUGGGGGUGAAAGGCCAAUCAAACCGGGAGAUAGCUGGUUCUCCCCGAAAGCUAUUUAGGUAGCGCCUCGUGAACUCAUCUCCGGGGGUAGAGCACUGUUUCGGCUAGGGGGCCAUCCCGGCUUACCAACCCGAUGCAAACUGCGAAUACCGGAGAAUGUUAUCACGGGAGACACACGGCGGGUGCUAACGUCCGUCGUGAAGAGGGAAACAACCCAGACCGCCAGCUAAGGUCCCAAAGUCAUGGUUAAGUGGGAAACGAUGUGGGAAGGCCCAGACAGCCAGGAUGUUGGCUUAGAAGCAGCCAUCAUUUAAAGAAAGCGUAAUAGCUCACUGGUCGAGUCGGCCUGCGCGGAAGAUGUAACGGGGCUAAAUCAUGCACCGAAGCUGCGGCAGCGACACUCAGGUGUUGUUGGGUAGGGGAGCGUUCUGUAAGCCUGUGAAGGUGUGUCGUGAGGCAUGCUGGAGGUAUCAGAAGUGCGAAUGCUGACAUAAGUAACGAUAAAGCGGGUGAAAAGCCCGCUCGCCGGAAGACCAAGGGUUCCUGUCCAACGUUAAUCGGGGCAGGGUGAGUCGACCCCUAAGGCGAGGCCGAAAGGCGUAGUCGAUGGGAAACGGGUUAAUAUUCCCGUACUUGGUGUUACUGCGAAGGGGGGACGGAGAAGGCUAUGUUGGCCGGGCGACGGUUGUCCCGGUUUAAGCGUGUAGGUGUGUGUUCCAGGUAAAUCCGGUUCACUUUAACACUGAGGCGUGAUGACGAGGCACUACGGUGCUGAAGCAACAAAUGCCCUGCUUCCAGGAAAAGCCUCUAAGCAUCAGGUAACAUCAAAUCGUACCCCAAACCGACACAGGUGGUCAGGUAGAGAAUACCAAGGCGCUUGAGAGAACUCGGGUGAAGGAACUAGGCAAAAUGGUGCCGUAACUUCGGGAGAAGGCACGCUGACACGUAGGUGAAGUGAUUUACUCA
rnacentral:rRNA from 1 species